ACGAACGCUGGCGGCGUGCUUAACACAUGCCAGUCGAACGGAAAGGCCCUGCUUUUGUGGGGUGCUCGAGUGGCGAACGGGUGAGUAACACGUGAGUAACCUGCCCUUGACUUUGGGAUAACUUCAGGAAACUGGGGCUAAUACCGGAUAGGAGCUCCUGCUGCAUGGUGGGGGUUGGAAAGUUUCGGCGGUUGGGGAUGGACUUGCGGCUUAUCAGCUUGUUGGUGGGGUAGUGGCUUACCAAGGCUUUGACGGGUAGCCGGCCUGAGAGGGUGACCGGCCACAUUGGGACUGAGAUACGGCCCAGACUCCUACGGGAGGCAGCAGUGGGGAAUAUUGCACAAUGGGCGGAAGCCUGAUGCAGCAACGCCGCGUGCGGGAUGACGGCCUUCGGGUUGUAAACCGCUUUCGCCUGUGACGAAGCGUGAGUGACGGUAAUGGGUAAAGAAGCACCGGCUAACUACGUG
rnacentral:rRNA from 1 species